rnacentral:rRNA from 1 species
GCUCAGGAUGAACGCUGGCGGCAGGCCUAACACAUGCAAGUCGAACGGUAACAGGAAGCAGCUUGCUGCUUCGCUGACGAGUGGCGGACGGGUGAGUAAUGUCUGGGAAACUGCCUGAUGGAGGGGGAUAACUACUGGAAACGGUAGCUAAUACCGCAUAACGUCGCAAGACCAAAGAGGGGGACCUUCGGGCCUCUUGCCAUCGGAUGUGCCCAGAUGGGGUUAGCUUGUUGGUGGGGUAACGGCUCACCAAGGCGACGAUCCCUAGCUGGUCUGAGAGGAUGACCAGCCACACUGGAACUGAGACACGGUCCAGACUCCUACGGGAGGCAGCAGUA